rnacentral:rRNA from 1 species
CCUACGGGAGGCAGCAGUGGGGAAUAUUGGACAAUGGGCGAAAGCCUGAUCCAGCAAUGCCGCGUGAGUGAUGAAGGCCUUAGGGUUGUAAAGCUCUUUUACCCGGGAAGAUAAUGACUGUACCGGGAGAAUAAGCUCCGGCUAACUCCGUGCCAGCAGCCGCGGUAAUACGGGGGGAGCUAGCGUUGUUCGGAAUUACUGGGCGUAAAGCGCACGUAGGCGGCUGUUCAAGUCAGAGGUGAAAGCCCGGGGCUCAACCCCGGGAAUAGCCUUUGAAACCUAGAUAGCUUGAAUCCAGGAGAGGUGAGUGGAAUUCCGAGUGUAGAGGUGAAAUUCGUAGAUAUUCGGAAGAACACCAGUGGCGAAGGCGGCUCACUGGACUGGUAUUGACGCUGAGGUGCGAAAGCGUGGGGAGCGAAACAGGAUUAGAUACCCUGGUAGUCCACGCCGUAAACGAUGAUAACUAGCUGCUGGGGCUCGAUGGAGCUUCGGUGGCGCGNGCUACGCAUUAAGUUAUACCGUCCGUCGGGUAGGUACGGUCGCGAGAUAAACUACAAUAGAGUAGACGCGNGAGACGNGCCGACGACGACGACGAGGGAGAGG